rnacentral:rRNA from 1 species
GACGAACGCUGGCGGCGUGCUUAACACAUGCAAGUCGAACGAAGAGCGCUGGAAUCUUGCUUCUAUCAAUCUUAGUGGCGAACGGGUGAGUAACGCGUAAUCAACCUGCCCUUCAGAGGGGGACAACAGUUGGAAACGACUGCUAAUACCGCAUACGAUCUAAUCUCGGCAUCGAGGAUAGAUGUAAGGUGGCCUCUACAUGUAAGCUAUCACUGAAGGAGGGGCUUGCGUCUGAUUAGCUAGUUGGAGGGGUAACGGCGCACCAAGGCGAGGAUCAGUAGCCGGUCUGCGAGGAUGAGCGGCCACAUUGGGACUGAGACACGGCCCAGACUCCUACGGGAGGCAGCAGGGGGGAAUCUUCCGCAAUGGACGAAAGUCUGACGGAGCAACGCCGCGUGAGUGAUGACGGCCGUCGGGUUGUAAAGCUCUGUUAAUCGGGACGAAAGGCCUUCUUGCGAAUAGUGAGAAGGAUUGACGGUACCGGAAUAGAAAGCCACGGCUAACUACGUG